rnacentral:rRNA from 1 species
GACGAACGCUGGCGGCGUGCCUAAUACAUGCAAGUAGGACGCAGUUGCGAACGGGUGAGUAACGCGUAGGUAAUUACCUAUUAGAGGGGGAUAACUAUUGGAAACGAUAGCUAAUACCGCAUACUAGUAGAUGGACCUGCGUUGUAUUAGCUAGUAGGUAGGGUAAUGGCCUACCUAGGCAACGAUACAUAGCCGACCUUGAGGGGAGAACGGCCAAACGGGGACUGAGGCACGGCCCAGACUCCUAAGGGGAGGAGCAGUAGGGAAUCUUCGGGAAGGGGGGGAAAGCUGACCGAGCAACGCCGCGUGAGUGAAGAAGGUUUUCGGAUGGUAAAGCUCUGUUAUUAAGGAAGCGGUACUUAACCAGAAAGCAACGGCUAACUACGUGCCAGCCGCCGCGGUAAUAC